rnacentral:rRNA from 1 species
CCCAAUGUGAACCAUACCAAACUGUUGCCUCGGCGGGGUCACGCCCCGGGUGCGUCGCAGCCCCGGAACCAGGCGCCCGCCGGAGGGACCAACCAAACUCUUUUCUGUAGUCCCCUCGCGGACGUUAUUUCUUACAGCUCUGAGCAAAAAUUCAAAAUGAAUCAAAACUUUCAACAACGGAUCUCUUGGUUCUGGCAUCGAUGAAGAACGCAGCGAAAUGCGAUAAGUAAUGUGAAUUGCAGAAUUCAGUGAAUCAUCGAAUCUUUGAACGCACAUUGCGCCCGCCAGUAUUCUGGCGGGCAUGCCUGUCCGAGCGUCAUUUCAACCCUCGAACCCCUCCGGGGGGUCGGCGUUGGGGACCUCGGGAGCCCCUAAGACGGGAUCCCGGCCCCGAAAUACAGUGGCGGUCUCGCCGCAGCCUCUCCUGCGCAGUAGUUUGCACAACUCGCACCGGGAGCGCGGCGCGUCCACGUCCGUAAAACACCCAACUUUCUGAAAUGUUGACCUCGGAUCAGGUAGGAAUACCCGCUGAACUUAAGCAUAUCA